rnacentral:rRNA from 1 species
CACGCUGUAAACGAUGAUAACUUGUUGUUGGGCACAUAGUGCUCAGUGGCUAAGCGAAAGCGAUAAGUUAUCCACCUGGGGAGUACGAUCGCAAGGUUGAAACUCAAAGGAAUUGACGGG